UAUGACUGAUGCUUACGGAAUACUUUUACAGUUUAACUGUUCUCAUCGUCAUGCAUUUUUACAUGCAAUAAUAUAUUUUUUUGAAUGUUUCAAAACUGCAAAAUGCAAAAAUAUAAUAAUAAAUAAAAAUAAUAAAAUAAACAAUAUGUUAUAAUACACAGCGGUUUCACUUUUGAGGAAGAAAAAGAUAGUACUAUUUUUAAGAUGAAGGGCUUCAAAGAGGAUGUUUGGUACUCCUGCUUCCCGUUUAUCCGUUUCAUAGGAGAGACAUUCUGUUUUGAUAUAUUUGAUCGAGAGAGGUCUGCAACAACUGGCACAUACAGCACAGUGAAAAACGAAAUUCACAUUUUCCAUCAACCAAUCACGAUCUUUUGAUGAUAAACCUAGCGAAGGUUGUUCCAAAUCUCCAUCAAUCAUUUUUAUCUUAGUCA